CGUAAAGAGCUCGUAGGUGGUUUGUCGCGUUGUUCGUGAAAACCGGGGGCUUAACCCUCGGCGUGCGGGCGAUACGGGCAGACUGGAGUACUGCAGGGGAGACUGGAAUUCCUGGUGUAGCGGUGGAAUGCGCAGAUAUCAGGAGGAACACCGGUGGCGAAGGCGGGUCUCUGGGCAGUAACUGACGCUGAGGAGCGAAAGCGUGGGGAGCGAACAGGAUUAGAUACCCUGGUAGUCCACGCCGUAAACGGUGGGUACUAGGUGUGGGUUUCCUUCCUUGGGAUCCGUGCCGUAGCUAACGCAUUAAGUACCCCGCCUGGGGAGUACGGCCGCAAGGCUAAAACUCAAAGGAAUUGGCGGGGGCCCGCACAAGCGGCGGAGCAUGUGGAUUAAUUCGAUGCAACGCGAAGAACCUUACCUGGGUUUGACAUGCACAGGACGCCGGCAGAGAUGUCGGUUCCCUUGUGGCCUGUGUGCAGGUGGUGCAUGGCUGUCGUCAGCUCGUGUCGUGAGAUGUUGGGUUAAGUCCCGCAACGAGCGCAACCCUUGUCUCAUGUUGCCAGCACGUUAUGGUGGGGACUCGUGAGAGACUGCCGGGGUCAACUCGGAGGAAGGUGGGGAUGACGUCAAGUCAUCAUGCCCCUUAUGUCCAGGGCUUCACACAUGCUACAAUGGCCGGUACAAAGGGCUGCGAUGCCGUGAGGUGGAGCGAAUCCUUUCAAAGCCGGUCUCAGUUCGGAUCGGGGUCUGCAACUCGACCCCGUGAAGUCGGAGUCGCUAGUAAUCGCAGA
rnacentral:rRNA from 1 species